AUGUUUUCAAGAAUCUAUCUCACUGCAUUUUCAAGUCUUUGGUUCGAUCUUGACACAUUUUUUUAAUUUUUUUUUUGAAUACCAGGAGGUUCUGGGCCGAAACCCGUAAUCCCCCAGACCCGAAACCACAGCAUGUAAUAUUAGUUUCGUCCUAAUCGUCACUCGAACCGGCGACCUCUAAGUUUCGCCUAGGGUCUUUACCCAUUGAGCUAACGACACUUGGUCUUGACACAUUACUUACCCGCUUCCGUCUUUAUCAAAGUAUUGGAA
rnacentral:sRNA from 1 species